AACGAACGCUGGCGGCAUGCCUAACACAUGCAAGUCGAACGAGACCUUCGGGUGUAGUGGCGCACGGGUGCGUAACGCGUGGGAACCUGCCAUUAGGCUCGGAAUAACUCCCCGAAAGGGGUGAUAAUACCGGAUAAUGUCUUAGGACCAAAGAUUUAUCGCCUUUGGAGGGGCCCGCGUUGGAUUAGCUAGUGGGUAGGGUAAAAGCCUACAAAGGCGACGAUCCAUAGCUGGUCUGAGAGGAUGAUCAGCCACACUGGGACUGAGACACGGCCCAGACUCCUACGGGAGGAAGCAGUGGGGAAUAUUGGACAAUGGGCGAAAGCCUGAUCCAGCAAUGCCGCGUGUGUGAUGAAGUCCUUAGGGUUGUAAAGCUCUUUUACCCGCGAUGAUAAUGACAGUACCGUGAGAAUAAGCUCCGGCUAACUCCGUG
rnacentral:rRNA from 1 species